CAUUCAGUGCAUACAGAGGGACCCUUGUCAACUGCCCCUCUGGCUUUUCCACAUGCGACGGGCGGGAGACCUCAGGACGCCACUGCAGGCUGUUCAAUGCAUACAGAGGGACCCUUGUCAACUACCCCUCUGGCUUUUCCACAUGCGACGGGCGUGAGACCUCAGGACACCACUGGCCAUUCAGUGCAUAUGGAACUCUCUCCAUCUACCCGUCUUGCUUCUCCCUUGUAUCACAUGGACCCACAGGAAGGAACU